UACGUAGGGUGCAAGCGUUAAUCGGAAUUACUGGGCGUAAAGCGUGCGCAGGCGGCUUUGCAAGACAGAUGUGAAAUCCCCGGGCUUAACCUGGGAACUGCAUUGUGACUGCAUGGCUGGAGUGUGGCAGAGGGGGAUGGAAUUCCGCGUGUAGCAGUGAAAUGCGUAGAUAUGCGGAGGAACACCGAUGGCGAAGGCAAUCCCCUGGGCCUGCACUGACGCUCAGUGCACGAAAGCGUGGGGAGCAAACAGG
rnacentral:rRNA from 1 species